AGUGAACGCUGCGGUAGGCCUAACACAUGCAAGUCGCACGGCAGCACAGUAAGAGCUUGCUCUUACGGGUGGCGAGUGGCGGACGGGUGAGGAAUACAUCGGAAUCUACUUUUUCGUGGGGGAUAACGUAGGGAAACUUACGCUAAUACCGCAUACGACCUACGGGUGAAAGCAGGGGAUCUUCGGACCUUGCGCGAUUGAAUGAGCCGAUGUCGGAUUAGCUAGUUGGCGGGGUAAAGGCCCACCAAGGCGACGAUCCGUAGCUGGUCUGAGAGGAUGAUCAGCCACACUGGAACGGAGACACGGUCCAGACUCCUACGGGAGGCAGCAGUGGGGAAUAUUGGACAAUGGGCGCAAGCCUGAUCCAGCCAUACCGCGUGGGUGAAGAAGGCCUUCGGGUUGUAAAGCCCUUUUGUUGGGAAAGAAAAGCAGCAGGUUAAUACCCCGCUGUUCUGACGGUACCCAAAGAAUAAGCACCGGCUAACUUCGUG
rnacentral:rRNA from 1 species